rnacentral:lncRNA from 1 species
UUCCCACGCUGGGGUCGGGAUGGCCGGACACCCCGGCCUGUCCCAGCACUUGCAGGAUGGGGCCGGAGGGACCGAGGGGGAGGGCGGGAGGAAGCAGGACAUCGGGGACAUUUUACAGCAAAUUAUGACCAUCACAGACCAGAGUUUGGAUGAAGCGCAGGCCAGAAAACAUGCUUUAAACUGCCACAGAAUGAAGCCUGCCUUGUUUAAUGUGUUGUGUGAAAUCAAAGAAAAAACAGGUAGGAAUGAAAAUCCAACCUUUGGGCCUUUUUCUUUGGCUAGUUAUACCGUGGAACCUGCAACUCUUCUACUCUUCCUGGGACUUUAACAUUUUAGAAUGCAAGCACUACCAGGAAAGCCAUGCCUGCUUUUACCAAAGGGAAACAGCUUUGACAGUCGGUUUCAAGCAGUGUGUUUUCCUUAACUCUGGCCCCAACUCUUUUUGAAAUUGGGACUAAGGCAGAGGUUUUGACGGGAAAUUUAUAGACUGAUACGCCUUUGGGGGAGAACGCGAAAGUAAAAGUCCAUUUCCUGAAGGAAUAUAUUUUUUUGUCUACAAUUACUGACUCCAGUCUCUCUCACCCUGCUAUUGGGCAAGGGACUAAGGGCUAAACUGUUGUUUCCUUUCUUUUUGCCACUUUGUUCUUUGUAUUUACACAGAGUAACCAACCUGAGGCUCUCAAAAGAGUGUCUUGGAAUACCUUUGUGGAAUGCACAAUUCAAUAUUCGGGGAACCGGCUUUUGAAUGCCCUCUAAUUUUUUUUUUCUAGCAGGGACACUCUUUAGAUUUAGGGCACUAUAUUAUCCAGAGAUCAUUCCCUCUGUUGUUUUGCUACUUUCUGAACCUCAUAUCAUAGACUAACACACUUAUAACACAUCCCAGGAGGGCAUUUAAAUUUUAAAGCAACAAUUAAAAAAUCGCAGUCAUCAAUCAGAGGUGUUCUUAAACAACAGAUGCGCAGAGAAAGGGCACUUAGCAACUGUCCUCUCAUUUCUUUAUCCUGGUCCUUAAUUUUGAUUGAAUCUGUAAUUACUCAGGUCUUUCAAAUGUCUGUGAAAUGAGUAAACAGCUCCUUUGUUGGGUGAUACUUGGAUGGUAGGGAAGCGGGCAGACAAAGCACCUGAGACAGGCUGCUCAGACCUCUGAGUCAUCCAGGUGCCUGUGCCAGGACCUAACCUUAUUGCAAAGCUGAUAAUUGUGUCGCGUUAGCCGUGAGAGGUGCCUUUCGAGAGAUGUAUUGAUUGUGCCUACCAAUAUCAAAGGAGCUUUUCCUCAGUUUGUCUCUUAGGUUUUUGUUGUUGUUGUUUGGUUUUGUUAUUUUUCUUUCUUUCUAUCAGCUCGGAGAAGGAAGCCGUGGGCUUGUGUGCAUAUGUGUCCCCUUCCCUCCAAAUUUUCCUUCUCUCCUUAAGGCUUCUGUGGUUUUUCACUUUGAACCGCGGGUUUUGUUUCUCAUCAAGUUGGAGUUUUAUUUUGUUUUGUUUUGUUUUUCCUAAUCUUGGUUCAUGAAAUGUAGAGUCAUAAUAAA